GACGAACGCUGGCGGCGUGCCUAAUACAUGCAAGUAGAACGCUGAAGGAGGAGCUUGCUUCUCUGGAUGAGUUGCGAACGGGUGAGUAACGCGUAGGUAACCUGCCUGGUAGCGGGGGAUAACUAUUGGAAACGAUAGCUAAUACCGCAUAAGAGUAGAUGUUGCAUGACAUUUGCUUAAAAGGUGCAAUUGCAUCACUACCAGAUGGACCUGCGUUGUAUUAGCUAGUUGGUGAGGUAACGGCUCACCAAGGCGACGAUACAUAGCCGACCUGAGAGGGUGAUCGGCCACACUGGGACUGAGACACGGCCCAGACUCCUACGGGAGGCAGCAGUAGGGAAUCUUCGGCAAUGGACGGAAGUCUGACCGAGCAACGCCGCGUGAGUGAAGAAGGUUUUCGGGAUCGUAAAAGCUCUG
rnacentral:rRNA from 1 species